rnacentral:tRNA from 1 species
GGAGAGAUGGUUGAGUGGUCGAAGGCGCCGCAUUGGAAAUGCGGUGUACCGAAAGGUACCGAGGGUUCGAAUCCCUCUCUCUCCGCCA